rnacentral:lncRNA from 1 species
ACAGCUUCCUCGGGAUCAUCUACAGUUUGAUUGAUUUAGCCGGCGUCUGUCGUAGAAGAAAGGCAGUUGAAGGUUUUAAUGAUUAAAAUAUUGGAUCCGUCGUGUUGAGAAUUCCGAUGGUCCCUCAUCGCUCCACGUGGGCGGCUUUGAUUCCCCUUUCUAAACAUUGGCGCGUGCUUUGGGCGUGAGGGGACCACUUUGUGGUCCAAACCUCCAUUUCGCUCGACGAGUGUCUCCCGUGUCGUUGUCCCGCGAGUGCCCUUGUAGAUAAGCGACGUCGUUUAUGGUCCCCA